CCUACGGGAGGCUGCAGUGGGGAAUAUUGGGCAAUGGGCGCAAGCCUGACCCAGCAACGCCGCGUGAAGGAAGAAGGCCCUCGGGUUGUAAACUUCUUUUAUCAAGGACGAAACACAUGACGGUACUUGAUUACUACGCCACGGCUAACUACGUGCCAGCAGCCGCGGUAAUACGGAGGUGGCAAGCGUUAUCCGGAUUUACUGGGUGUAAAGGGCGUGUAGGCGGGACUGCAAGUCAGAUGUGAAAACCAUGGGCUCAACCCAGGGCCUGCAUUUGAAACUGGAGUUCUUGAGUGUUGGAGAGGCAGGUGGAAUUCCGUGUGUAGCGGUGAAAUGCGUAGAGAUACGGAGGAACACCAGUGGCGAAGGCGGCCUGCUGGACAAUAACUGACGCUGAGGCGCGAAAGCGUGGGGAGCAAACAGGAUUAGAUACCCCAGUAGUC
rnacentral:rRNA from 1 species